AAUCUGUGUUGUGGGCACCUCUGCAAAAAGAUCUUUGAAGUGCUCCCAUGUCUCAAACAAUAAUUCCAACUCCAUCUAUGCAAACGAUGAUAUCUCAUUGCAAAGCUU